CCUGGAACCAAGCCCCAGUGGAUACCAAGCGCCCACUGUGUUCUGGUAUUUAGCCCAGAACAUAUAUUUUCCUGGGAGUCAGCCAAGUGAAGCAACUGGACUAUGACUCUAGAGAACAAAAUUUGAAUCCCUGCUUGACCAUGGAAACCCACAUGGAGGAGAGAAAAUUAUAGCCAAGGGGACAAGCAUAGCCCAGGAUGGUUUCUAAAGCAUUCCUUACACUCUGUAAUAAAGACAGAGACCACAUUCCUGAGAGCCCACAGUGCUGAGAAGAACUCAGGUCUUUUCAGGGAAGAUCUUAAAUAUACAUCAAGGAAUGUGAGUUGCAUUUGCCUUCUCAUGUGUGAGUCUAUGAUAAAGAGAAGCUUGUUCUGAAUCCGUCACACCCUGUCACAUGGUCACCUCAGGCUACAGAGAAUUUUAUCUAUGCCACCAGCUUUGCUUUAAUAAAAAGAGAUGUCUCUAGCCCUCAUGAACUGGAAGGAAAUCCUCAAAACACAACAGAUCGGUGGUGGUAGUGAUGGUGGUGGUAUGUGUGUUCGUUCCUGAAAGAAUUAUUGCCAUUAUAGACGUUUUGCUACGUAAAAUUAGGGUGUUCAUUCCCACAGCAAUAGUUCUUUCCCAUUUCUAUUACACACAUGAUGGGAAGAGAGGGACACUAUACCAGAAGUGUUGAUUCUUGCAUAGAUAUUAUACAGAUGUCAACUGCAAAGCAGGGCAGCAGGAUCACAGAAAGUUUUUUCUGCUUUAAAAACACAGAAUCAUUAGAAAUGCUCUAGCUGGCCUAGAGUUGUUCCCUUUAUUCUCAAGCAAGAAAACAUCACUAACUAGUAUCUACCACAUGUUUGGUCAUAUAGAAGUUACUGUAUCAACAACAUGCCAUUAUUAGAGAAAGAGUAUCAGUUUUGGGGCUCAUUUACACUGUCCAGAAAAAAACAGGCUUUUCCCAGAGAAUUCUGGCACCAGGGCUGUCCUGGAUUCCCCCCAAUACUGCUGCACUCUGUUGUGAUGCUGGGCACAUGUCCCGCUAUGCCACUCAGUUCCUAGCAUUGAUCCCUCCCUCAGUGGGAGCAACUCCUGCCAGCAGUGGUGGCACUGGGCAGCACAGAAGGACACAUGUGAAGACAGUUGCCUGCCAUUGCUAUGGAUUUUUCUGCAAUUCUAGAGCAAAAAUAGAAUAGAGGUAAAGAAACUGCAGUCUCUUGGGGCUUUUUUACCACCUUCCCAGACUUCUCCAGGCCUCUUAUAACUUCGGUGGUGGGUGCAUGGGAGGGUGACAGACAAAAUCAUCCCUCAGUGGCAAAUUAUUAUUCCUGGAAGCCACUAGGACUAGUGUAGGGCUAUAACAUCCCUAAGCCUUUCUCAGGAUUGUAAAAAUAGGCCACCAAUAGUGAUGUGAUCAGUCAUGAAUUUUGUUUUUCAAUGGAGCAACAAGUAAUUUUAACAAUUUUCUUCCUGCUGUGAGAAGAAAGUUUUUGAAGACCCAUUUACAGUUGAGGAUUUAUUCUGCACCAAAUUUGCAUGUGGCAAAAAAAAA